GAAAGAGCGACUUGCCAAAGAAGCAAGCAAAAAAAAUUUCCGUAUGAUUGUUGUUGGCGUGACUGUUUUGGUCUUUUUAUUCGUUCUUGCUUGUUCUUUU
rnacentral:ribozyme from 13 species